GACGAACGCUGGCGGCGUGCUUAACACAUGCAAGUCGAACGGAAAGGCCUGCUUUCCCUUGUGGAUUGCGGGUACUCGAGUGGCGAACGGGUGAGUAACACGUGAGUGAUCUGCCCCCAACUUGGGUAUAAGCCUGGGAAACUGGGUCUAAUUCCCGAUAGGACUGCAGGGUGGUGCCUGUGGUGGAAAACGAUUUUCUAGUGGUUGGGGAUGAGCUCGCGGCCUAUCAGCUUGUUGGUGUGGUAAUGGCCUACCAAGGCGGCGACGGGUAGCCGGCCUGAGAGGGUGGACGGCCACAUUGGGACUGAGAUACGGCCCAGACUCCUACGGGAGGCAGCAGUGGGGAAUAUUGCACAAUGGGCGGAAGCCUGAUGCAGCGACGCCGCGUGGGGGAUGACGGCCUUCGGGUUGUAAACUCCUUUCGACCGCGAGGAAGCCACCUGGUUGGAAGGGUGGUGACGGUAGUGGUAGAAGAAGCACCGGCUAACUACGUG
rnacentral:rRNA from 1 species